rnacentral:rRNA from 1 species
UCCCAGACUCCUACGGGAGGCAGCAGUGAGGAAUAUUGGUCAAUGGGCGAGAGCCUGAACCAGUCAAGUCGCGUGAGGGAUGACUGCCCUAUGGGUUGUAAACCUCUUUUGUAUGGGGGGAAUAAGCUUUACGAGUAGAGUGAUGACAGUACCAUACGAAUAAGCAUCGGCUAACUCCGUGCCAGCAGCCGCGGUAAUACGGAGGAUGCGAGCGUUAUCCGGAUUUAUUGGGUUUAAAGGGUGCGCAGGCGGAAUGUCAAGUCAGCGGUAAAAUUUCGGGGCUCAACCCCGUCGUGCCGUUGAAACUGGCGUUCUUGAGUGGGCGAGAAGUAUGCGGAAUGCGUGGUGUAGCGGUGAAAUGCAUAGAUAUCACGCAGAACUCCGAUUGCGAAGGCAGCAUACCGGCGCUCAACUGACGCUCAUGCACGAAAGCGUGGGUAUCGAACAGGAUUAGAUACCCCCGUACAU